UACGUAGGGUGCGAGCGUUGUCCGGAAUUAUUGGGCGUAAAGAGCUCGUAGGCGGUCUGUCGCGUCGGUCGUGAAAACUUGGGGCUUAACCCUGAGCUUGCGGUCGAUACGGGCAUGACUGGAGUUCGGUAGGGGAGACUGGAAUUCCUGGUGUAGCGGUGAAAUGCGCAGAUAUUAGGAGGAACACCGGUGGCGAAGGCGGGUCUCUGGGCCGAUACUGACGCUGAGGAGCGAAAGCGUGGGGAGCGAACAGG
rnacentral:rRNA from 1 species